rnacentral:ncRNA from 1 species
AAAGACUCAGUCCUAACCUUACUAUUGGUUCCUGCUAGACAUAUACAUGCAAGUAUCCGCACCCCAGUGAAAAUGCCCAAACCCUUAUCUUCUUUAAGCGAAAUGGAGCAGGUAUCAGGCACACCAAAGUUUAGCCCAAGACGCCUUGCUAAGCCACACCCCCACGGGUAUUCAGCAGUAAUUAACCUUAAGCAAUAAGUGCAAACUUGACUUAGCCAUAGCAGCACUAGGGUUGGUAAAUCUUGUGCCAGCCACCGCGGUCAUACAAGAAACCCAAAUCAAUAGCCACCCGGCGUAAAGAGUGGCCACAUGUUAUCUGCCCCAACUAAGAUCAAAGCGAAUCCAAGCCGUCAUAAGCCUACGAUUCAUUUAAGCCCAACCCAAACGCUAUCUUAGCCCCAUGACCUAUUUAACCCACGAAAGCCAGGACACAAACUGGGAUUAGAUACCCCACUAUGCCCGGCCCUAAAUCUAGAUACAGAUAACCACUUACGUAUCCGCCCGAGAACUACGAGCACAAACGCUUAAAACUCUAAGGACUUGGCGGUGCCCCAAACCCACCUAGAGGAGCCUGUUCUAUAACCGAUAACCCACGAUUUACCUAACCAUUCCUUGCCAACACAGCCUACAUACCGCCGUCGCCAGCCCACCUUCAAUGAAAGAAUAACAGUGAGCCUAACAGCCCCCGCUAACAAGACAGGUCAAGGUAUAGCCCAUGGAAUGGAAGAAAUGGGCUACAUUUUCUAGAAUAGAACAGACGAAAAAGGACAUGAAACCUAGGUCCUUAGAAGAAGGAUUUAGCAGUAAAACGGGAUCAUCUAGCCCGCUUUAAGAAGGCCCUGAGGCACGUACAUACCGCCCGUCACCCUCUUCAAAAGCCACCCACCACUAAUAAAUAAUACCCCUUCAGCUAAAGACGAGGCAAGUCGUAACAAGGUAAGUGUACCGGAAGGUGCACUUAGACUAC